rnacentral:lncRNA from 1 species
UUUUCCACUAGCAAGGAGAAAUAAUAGUCAAAUUCAUACAGGUUACACAAAAUUUCACAGCUUUUAGAACUAAGAACAUUCAUCAUAUUAUCAUCUCUUCAAAAAAUAAAAAAAUGUAAAACAUCACCUUAAUAAAAUUUGAUAUUAAAGCUCAAGAGCUAACUGUUAGAUCCUAAACCAAGGCGUACCAAUCCCCCAUCCAUGCUUCAACCAUUACAUUACUCAAAGAAAUAAGCUUAUACAAAGAAUGUAAUCCAUUUCCAGUCUGGCCUGGCCUUAUCUUCCAACCAGGUUGGCAUAUUCAGAACAAACAGUCUUCAUUAUCCAAAUAGAACCUUGACCACAUUUCCACCAUAAGGUGCCAAUUCUAGCUUCUCACAGAAUGCAUUCAAGUCUAAAUCAAAAUUCUCCUUAUUACUACCUUCAUAAUAUUCACUAAACACCCAAAAUAUUCUAAUAAAACCAAUGCAAUGAAUAAACAGAUGACAACCCAUUUUAAAUCAAUCCCUAAACAUAAGAAACCCAGACAACCAAACUAAAAGGGGGAAAAGAAAAACAAAGAGAUGGAGCAAUGAACUAUAC